rnacentral:rRNA from 1 species
UACGUAGGGCGCAAGCGUUAUCCGGAAUUAUUGGGCGUAAAGAGCUCGUAGGCGGUUUGUCGCGUCUGCCGUGAAAGUCCGGGGCUCAACUCCGGAUCUGCGGUGGGUACGGGCAGACUAGAGUGAUGUAGGGGAGACUGGAAUUCCUGGUGUAGCGGUGAAAUGCGCAGAUAUCAGGAAGAACACCCGUGGCUAAGGCGGGUCUCUGGGCCGUAACUGACGCUGAGGAGCGAAAGCGUGGGGAGCAAACAGG